GACGAACGCUGGCGGCGUGCUUAACACAUGCAAGUCGAACGGUAAGGCCCUUCGGGGUACACGAGUGGCGAACGGGUGAGUAACACGUGGGUGAUCUGCCCUGCACUUCGGGAUAAGCCUGGGAAACUGGGUCUAAUACCGGAUAGGACUCCUGGCUUCAUGGUUGGGGGUGGAAAGCUUUUGCGGUGUGGGAUGGGCCCGCGGCCUAUCAGCUUGUUGGUGGGGUAAAGGCCUACCAAGGCGACGACGGGUAGCCGGCCUGAGAGGGUGACCGGCCACACUGGGACUGAGAUACGGCCCAGACUCCUACGGGAGGCAGCAGUGGGGAUUAUUGCACAAUGGGCGCAAGCCUGAUGCAGCGACGCCGCGUGAGGGAUGACGGCCUUCGGGUUGUAAACCUCUUUCAGCACCGACGAAGCGCAAGUGACGGUAGGUGCAGAAGAAGGACCGGCCAACUACGUGCCAGCCGCCGCCGUAA
rnacentral:rRNA from 1 species